rnacentral:tRNA from 1 species
GGGUGUAUAGCUCAGUAGUAGAGCAUGUACUUAACAUGCACCAGGUCCUGGGUUCAAUCCCUAGUACCUCCA